GGGGGUGCUAUAAUGCAGUCGAGCGGACAGAUGGGAGCUUGCUCCCUGAUGUUAGCGGCGGACGGGUGAGUAACACGUGGGUAACCUGCCUGUAAGACUGGGAUAACUCCGGGAAACCGGGGCUAAUACCGGAUGGUUGUUUGAACCGCAUGGUUCAAACAUAAAAGGUGGCUUCGGCUACCACUUACAGAUGGACCCGCGGCGCAUUAGCUAGUUGGUGAGGUAACGGCUCACCAAGGCAACGAUGCGUAGCCGACCUGAGAGGGUGAUCGGCCACACUGGGACUGAGACACGGCCCAGACUCCUACGGGAGGCAGCAGUAGGGAAUCUUCCGCAAUGGACGAAAGUCUGACGGAGCAACGCCGCGUGAGUGAUGAAGGUUUUCGGAUCGUAAAGCUCUGUUGUUAGGGAAGAACAAGUACCGUUCGAAUAGGGCGGUACCUUGACGGUACCUAACCAGAAAGCCACGGCUAACUACGUGCCAGCAGCCGCGGUAAUACGUAGGUGGCAAGCGUUGUCCGGAAUUAUUGGGCGUAAAGGGCUCGCAGGCGGUUUCUUAAGUCUGAUGUGAAAGCCCCCGGCUCAACCGGGGAGGGUCAUUGGAAACUGGGGAACUUGAGUGCAGAAGAGGAGAGUGGAAUUCCACGUGUCGCGGCGAAAAUGCGU
rnacentral:rRNA from 1 species